rnacentral:rRNA from 1 species
AUUGAACGCUAGCGGCAGGCCUAACACAUGCAAGUCGAGCGGGGCGGCGGACGGGUGAGUCAUGCCUAGGAAUCUGCCUGGUAGUGGGGGAUAACGUCCGGAAACGGGCGCUAAUACCGCAUCCUCUCAGAUGAGCCUAGGGCGGAUUAGCUAGUUGGUGGGGGAAAGGCCUACCAAGGCGACGUGCCGUAACUGGGCUGAGAGGAUGAUCAGUCCCACUGGAACUGAGACACGGUCCAGACUCCUACGGGAGGCAGCAGUGGGGAAUAUUGGACAAUGGGCGCAAGCCUGAUCCAGCCAUGCCGCGUGUAGGAAGAAGGUCUUCGGAUUGUAAAGCACUUUAAGUUGGGAGGCGUUACCAACAGAAUAAGCACCGGCUAACUCCGUGCCAGCAGCCGCGGUAAUAC